UACGGAGGGGGCUAGCGUUGUUCGGAAUCACUGGGCGUAAAGCGCACGUAGGCGGCGUGUUUAGUCAGAGGUGAAAGGCCCGGGCUCAACCCGGGAACGGCCUUUGAUACUGGCACGCUCGAGUCCGAGAGGGGGUGGUGGAACUCCCAGUGUAGAGGUGAAAUUCGUAGAUAUUGGGAAGAACACCGGUGGCGAAGGCGACCACCUGGCUCGGAACUGACGCUGAGGUGCGAAAGCGUGGGGAGCAAACAGG
rnacentral:rRNA from 1 species